GGGUGGUGUGUGCCCAGCCUGGUCCCACAGUCCACAGUGAGCGGCAGACAGAGGGGUGGCCAGUUUGUUGUUUUACCUAAAAGGUGUUUUCCACGUGGAGUAGGACUGAGAGGCACAGGUGGCUGAGGGGACCCGCCUGGGACGUGAGGCGCAGGUGUGCUCGGCCCCUUCAUCUGUCAGCUGCAGCAAUGGAAUACGUGCUGGAAGUGAAGAACUCUCCGCGGCACCUCCUG
rnacentral:lncRNA from 1 species